rnacentral:lncRNA from 1 species
GCUGGGUCACUUUCAAAUUCAAGCGAGCCUUCAUCCGUCACAAAAAUCAUUUCAGACUGUGAAUCCGCGCUCAUGUUCUUAAACAAUAGCCUUGCCAUCCUUUCAACUUCUGUGGCACGGGAGCAGGGUGAAACGCUGUGAUUUUAUGGCCAUCUUAUANNNNNNNNNNUGUGCUCACGUUCUUAAACAACAGCCUUGCCAUCCUUUCAACUUCCGUGGCACGGGAGCAGGGUGAAACGCUGUGAUUUUAUGGCCAUCUUAUACCAAGAUUCAACUCUGGUACACGGGUGUAUGCUUGUAGUGAUUCAGUUGUUUGCCUUUUGGUUUCAGUUGAGGCGCCGAGUAAAGCUUGUGUUCCCAUUGCCGGUGUGGUCGUGUAUUUGUGUGUGCUUGUUGAUUCUUUUGCAGUUGUAACUUGUGACAUUCAGUGAACAAUGGGAUGCAUAGGAAGAUUUGCCAUGCUUAACAAUGCUAUAAUGUUCUG